AAAAACCGGAAAAGAGGAGAAGAGCAAACAGGCACUUUGAGGAACAAUCCCCUUUAACUCCAAGCCGACAGCGGUCUAGGAAUUCAAGUUCAGUGCCUACCGAAGACAAAGGCGCCCCGAGGGAGUGGCGGUGCGACCCCAGGGCGUGGGCCCGGCCGCGGAGCCCACACUGCCCGGCUGACCCGGUGGUCUCGGACCAUGUCUCCCGCCCCAAGACCCCCCCGUUGUCUCCUGCUCCCCCUGCUCACGCUCGGCACCGCGCUCGCCUCCCUCGGCUCGGCCCAAAGCAGCAGCUUCAGCCCCGAAUCCUUGGAAGAACUUUACAACUGGGGCGAACUCCCCCUUCCCCGAUUCCCUUGGGCUCUGCUCUCAGCUCUGGAACCGCCUGAUAAACAUUUGGACUCCGCUCAAA
rnacentral:lncRNA from 1 species